UACGUAGGGACCGAGCGUUGUCCGGAAUCAUUGGGCGUAAAGAGCGUGUAGGCGGCCUUUUAAGUCCUGCGUGAAAUCCUGCGGCUCAACCGCAGACGGUCGUGGGAAACUGGAAGGCUAGAGUGCGGGAGAGGAGAGUGGAAUUCCCGGUGUAGCGGUGAAAUGCGCAGAUAUCGGGAGGAACACCGAUGGCGAAGGCAGGUCUCUGGGCCACUACUGACGCUGAGAAGCGAAAGCAUGGGGAGCGAACAGG
rnacentral:rRNA from 1 species